GGGGUCGACUGGUUUUGACAGCAUGACCCAUCCGACAGUAAGCAAGUCGAGCGCUGAAUUACAGCUCGUAAAUCUCAUUUUUCACACUUUUAAAUGGCGAGAAUAACUACGCUCUAGCUGCAUAAUAACAGAAUUAUAGUAUGUUAAUGCCAGGUCCCGACUAGGUCGGGAGGCCGGAUGUCUCCUAAUAGCCCUUGUUGACGGCGAUUAAUUUUGAGGCACCAUAAAAGUCAACAUCGAAACACAAUUGCAUCGCUUGUGUUUUUCAAUAAAGAUGAUAAGGUUAAGGUAGGCGGUUUUCGGUCAGCCUUAGUUCGAAAAUCAAACGAAAACUAAACUUGUAGAAAGCUCUUGUAUGGCUUGUUUGGACGCGGGUUCGACUCCCGCCGACUCCACAG
rnacentral:tmRNA from 1 species